AGGAGAUGGAGUGGAAAAAUAUCUCGCGAGCCCUGGGUGCCUUCAGUUUCCCUUUCUCGAUCCAAUCUCCAUCGACCUACUACAACCGCCACCACCUCCUCGAUCCAUGUGCUCACCCUUUGCCGCCGCCACCGGAGAGGCUCGCCUCCGCGGCCGCACGCCUUAGAUCCGACGGAAGGAAAAGGAGGAAGAGACCUGCACUGUCCUGUUCUCCGAGGUGAUGGAGGAGCAGCCGAGGGCGACGACGGCGUCCUUGGCCGAGCACACGGGCGGAAGGGGGGAGAGGGGUGUAGCCGCUCGUGGGGAUCGAGGGGAAGGAGAAAGGUGAUGAUGAUGCCGACUAUUUGGGGAAGGGGAUGCGGGCGACCUGGGGCGAGUGAAGCGGCCUGAGGGAGGCCGGCGGCGACCUAUGGAAGGAAUGGGACGCCGGCGACCUUGGGAAGGAAGGGGAGGCCGGCGAAUUGGGGUAGGGGAUGCGGGUGACCUGGGGAACGGCGGCUGGGAGCUGCUUAGCCCGUCGUCGCUGUCGGCCACCGGCGGCCACCGCCCGUUGCUUGGAGGAUGAGGGGAAUGGAGAAAGAGAAGUAGUAUCGGGAAGGAGUUUUGGGGGAUAGGAGGAGGGGAACAGCAGCCGCGCCAGGCGACAUGCUCGCGGUGCCGCUUGGUGGCUGAGAUGAGGCUGCCCCAUGCUCUGUUCCAAUGGGCCUCCUCUGCUCGAUGGUUGCACUGGUUGAGUUUGGUACGACUCCUAUUGUCGGCUGCGUCGAGCCUUGGGUCUUGUCUGUUCUUCGCAUUGAGGUUGGAGCAACUGGGAAACCAUUGACAAAUGUGGUCUCAAUUGGAGUUGGUGGUAGCUUCCUUGGACCUCUGUUUGUGCAUGCAGCUCUCCAGAUUGCAGAGGCCGCCAAAGGCUGGCAACUGAGAUUGUAAGGGUGUACUUGGGGUUAGAGGCAUUGGUGUGAGGGCGUUGUGGUGACGUGCUCCUCCAUGCCUCGUGCGAGUUCUUGGUGUCGCGAUCAUGUCUCCAGAGAGCAGCGCUUCAAGGUCACUUAAGCUUGAAUGGGUUAUCAAGUCUACUGGAACCAUUCAUGUUUAGGCUUGUUCAUUGGUUUUAGGACAGACACUCCCUUAAGUAUGUUUAAUCACAAUUAAAAGGAGGAAGCCAAAUUAUUGCAAUGUGUGGCUUCAGGUAAAGUUGUCAAGAUGAUCUGGUGCUUGUUUGAGUCGUUGAUUACUGCUGCUUUGCUAAGGUUCAACGUCUUACUACAUGAGAAAUUUAUUCCAAUGCUUUCUCAAUCCCUUUACCAUGAUGACUACGAGAGGAACCUUCAAUGUGUAUAGAUGGUGAUGGAUAUGGGGACACACAAGAACUAGCGAACUUAAUACCAGAUGCCCUCAACUAUGAAUUCUUUAAUUAUUGGAGGCUUUCAUAUUCAUAUCAAUACAAGGUGGGAUAUGAUGCAGGCUUUAGAAUCACUAAGGUUGCUCCUUCUCUGUUCCUUUGGUCAAGCACAGAGGAAUGAGGAUGGAUACAGGAGGCAUGGCGUAAGCGUAGGGGUCAGCCAUGGCACGACGCAAGAGUCUGCCCAUCUCCUCUCAAAGGAUUGGUGGUUCAUCACGAUUUUUCUAGCUUAUUUUGUCCUCCAAAUGAUAUAGAAGGCAGUCAAGCACUACAGGAAUCUGCUACUUUGCCAUCUGCCACAGCGGACGACAAAGCCAGGGACAUCGGACGGCAAAAUGCUUUGCCAUCAGCGGCGGAUGACAAACAGUGACGACAAAGACAGAGUCGGCAAACAGGCCCUUUGCCGUCUGCUUUUUAUGGCGGAUGGCAAAGAGUGCUUUGCCUACAGCGUCGGACGGCAAAGAGGAGUGACGGCAAAAUACUGGACGUCCGCCAGUGUUAGUCCAUUAGGCGGCUAACGGCGGCCUUUGCCGUCAGCCAGCUGCCGGCAAAUUUGAACGCCUCUUUGCUGUCCGCCUCUUUGCCAUUAGCUUAACUUUGUCGUCCGCCAGGGUAGGCAAAUUUGCCAAAUGGCUCAUCUAUGAGGAAGCAUAGGUGGCUGCCACGUGUCCCCUUUGCCGUCUGCCACCGACGGCAAAGGGGUCUUUGCCGUCUGCCGCGGACGGCAAAGAGCCUGUACUGCCUCUUUUUUAUUCUAUUUUUCUUAUAUCCAACAAUUAUCACAGCAAAUAUAU